UAUUCUUGUUGCCACAACCACACAAACUCGCGUGCGUGUCCCAGCUUGCUGUUUCCUUGGUGGUCUUGUACCUCACGGACCUCUUGUGACGAGCCAGCUUUUAUACCCACAUCCACGCACCCACUGCUCCCCCCCUCCACACACACAUACAUAUCUUCACAUCUUCCCUUUCCAUCCGAACGCGUUCAUCUCAUCACGUGACUCUGCGCUGCUCCCGCCUCUUGCUCCUCAGAAGACUCCCUCCCCCGAAACACACACACACACACACACAUACACACACACGUACACACAAGCGCAAUGUAUGCCCAGCACAUUCAAUCCACCCCAAGCAACAAGUUCCCUGUGUUCCAGGGCGUGUCGCCGCGCGUGACGGCGCAAACCUACCAGAGUCACCGUGGCGAGUACGUCUCCAUCAUUUUUGAGCUGACGGGCCCGGGUGAGUUCAAAUGUGGUGUGACGGGCAUGUCGGUAAAGGUGGUUGGCGUGCCGGAGGCAGUGGAAGUGAGCCGCGUCUGCGAGUUUAUCUGCUACGUCGAUCCUUCCACGGGGGAUCUGACGUACUUUCAGCACGCCAUGCUUGAUGACGAAUUCGACUUUGAGGUGUACCGCCGCCUCGUGAGCCUGACGACCAAAGUACCACAGCUCUUUUGAACAGCACUACACGAAGUUAGAGGAGAGCGCGACAAUGAACGGCGUGAUUGCCCAUCGUUAGUGAUGGAUGAGCUUCAAGCCAGCAAGCAAAGCAGAUGGAGAGGUGUUGCGCCGAUAUACGCAGACUCAAACAGGGGAGCCACGCCAAGGUAUAUCGUUACUCUCUUUCCACGGUACCCGCUCGGAGACAGAGAAGAAAGCGCGCUGCUGGCGCUGACAUAGAACAUGUGUCGUCAUACUGAGAGGAAACACGAGUGCGCGCAGGAAUACAAAACAUGAACGCAACGCUCGAUUGCACACAAAGCCGCUUUGUCCCUCCGCUCCUCUGUGCUGCGUAUGAUAGAAGAUAGCCAGAAACCGACAGAGAAGAAAGCAGCACCAGUAGAGUCGACCGGCUCAGUUGUGGAGAGUCUGUGCUUCUCUUUCUCUCCGUCGGGUUAGCCUUAACUCACGAUGCGUGGCAUCGAAGACGAGAUGAAGCGAUCCGCGAGAGAAGGCGGCUGACCACGGGUGCACGUGCGUGAGUGCACUUGAUUGCUUCUCCCCCUCCUCCCGCUCUCAUUCACUCUUCACAUGUGUGCGUGUGCGCGCGCGUCUUCACGCGGUUGAGCCUUUUAUCGUUUACCAGGUGUCCAAUGAUGCCCGCAGUGAACAUCAGCGGUUCUUCUGUUUUUCCUUUCCUGCACAAUAGUGCGUGUACGUGUGCUUGCGUGUUUCCGAGGUUACCUGUACGCGUUCUUUCUCUGGUCUCCUUCCAUACAUGCUAAG
rnacentral:misc_RNA from 1 species